AUGUCUUAUUAAUUGAUUAGUAUUAAUGCUUGUUUAAUGGUUUUAUUGUUUCUGUCUGUCAUUCUGUGAGAAGCCCUGCAGCUACCUCUGCCUCCACCUCUGCUGCGCCUGCACGGAGCCCUGGGAGGCCUGCAUUGACGCUGGCGAUGUUUGAGAAAGCGCGGUUCGGUGGGACUUUGUCUGCUGCAGCCAAGCCGAAUGUCAAUCUGACCAGGAGGCCUGUAGAGGUAAUGGAUGUACCUAUAGCUGUGCCUGAUGCCUAAGAACACAGCCAUACAGCCAACACUAUCCUUGUUUUGUAAUUGUACUUCAUCGGCUCCGUUUCCCCGAAACUAAAAUAUAAUUUAGUUUUUAGUGUGGUUAAUCUUAAAUACGGAUUGAAAAUGUUGACAAUAAUUAAUAUAUCUGGGUACAUUUCUCACUUUUUUAAGGUUUCCCAAAACCAGAGCGAGGAGGAUUAAGUGGGAAAUUGCCCUAAGAAGGGACGGUUUUGCUAACCUAUUGUGGCAUCAUGCCUUCAGUGUGCAGUUCUCUGAAAACCUAUGGUGGCAUCAUGCCUUCAGUGUGUCUUGAACAACCACAAAGGUUGCACAUAUUAUAUUCAUAUUUUAUUGUAUUUGUCUAAAUGCAUACUUGACUGCAGAUAGAUUUGAGUGAAGUAACCAACACAAUAGAUUGCUAAGUUUUAGUAGCCCAAAUAUUGAUUGUCGUACGAAAAGACUAUCGCCCGAACAGGGACUUGAACCCUGGACCCUCAGAUUAAAAGUCUGAUGCUCUACCGACUGAGCUAUCCGGGCUCUGAAAUUGUCAAACGGCCUUGUGUUAAAGAUAGAAAAUGUAGAAAUCCAUAGUUUAGUUAAGUGAACGCUUCAUAGUUUACUUAUUGGUACAGUCCAUUACGGUGUGACAUAUGUUUGAUUCACAGCUAUGAACAAUCGGUAAAUAAAAGCGAUAUUCUUGUGUUUGUCUUGGCCUAGUAUACGUGUUACUUUGCUAUGGAGACCCAUGUCAUUUGACAUCACAUGCUGCCCUAAAUCACUCC
rnacentral:tRNA from 1 species